rnacentral:rRNA from 1 species
AGUUAACGUUGGCGGCGUGCCUAACACAUGCAAGUCGAACGCGUCCUAAGGGCAACUUUAGGAUGAGUGGCGAACGGGUGAGUAUCACGUGGGUAAUCUUCCUUUAAGUGGGGAAUAAGCUCUCGAAAGGGAGUCUAAUACCGCAUGACAUUCCGGGACACAAGUCCCGUAAUCAAAGCCGCAAGGCGCUUGAAGAUGAGCCUGCGUCCUAUUAGCUAGUUGGUGGGGUAACGGCCUACCAAGGCUCAGAUGGGUAGCCGGCCUGAGAGGGUGAACGGCCACACUGGGACUGAGACACGGCCCAGACUCCUACGGGAGGCAGCAGUGAGGAAUUUUGCGCAAUGGGGGAAACCCUGACGCAGCGACGCCGCGUGGAGGAUGAAGGCCUUCGGUCGGUAAACUCCUGUCAGAGGUGAAGAAUGCCGCAAGGGUUGACGGUAACCUCAGAGGAAGCCCGGCUAACUACGUG